rnacentral:rRNA from 1 species
UACGAAGGGGGCUAGCGUUGCUCGGAAUCACUGGGCGUAAAGCGCACGUAGGCGGACUCUUAAGUCAGGGGUGAAAUCCUGGAGCUCAACUCCAGAACUGCCUUUGAUACUGGGAGUCUUGAGUUCGGGAGAGGUGAGUGGAACUGCGAGUGUAGAGGUGAAAUGCGUAGAUAUCUGGAGGAAUACCGGUGGCGAAGGCGGCAUCCUGGACCGGCAUUGACGCUGAUGAGCGAAAGCUAGGGGAGCAAACGGG